rnacentral:rRNA from 1 species
CACGUAGGCGGAUUGGAAAGUCAGAGGUGAAAUCCCAGAGCUCAACUUUGGAACUGCCUUUGAAACUCCCAGUCUUGAGGUCGAGAGAGGUGAGUGGAAUUCCGAGUGUAGAGGUGAAAUUCGUAGAUAUUUGGAGGAACACCAGUGGCGAAGGCGGCUCACUGGCUCGAUACUGACGCUGAGGUGCGAAAGCGUGGGGAGCAAACA